AGGGAAUAUUGCGCAAUGGGGGCAACCCUGACGCAGCGACGCCGCGUGAGUGAUGAAGGCCUUCGGGUUGUAAAACUCUGUCCUCAGGGAAGAAAACGAUGACGGUACCUGAGGAGGAAGCCCCGGCUAACUACGUGCCAGCAGCCGCGGUAAUACGUAGGGGGCGAGCGUUGUCCGGAAUUAUUGGGCGUAAAGGGUGCGUAGGCGGCCUUUUAAGUCAGAUGUGAAAGACCACAGCUUAACUGUGGGGUUGCAUUUGAAACUGGGAGGCUUGAGUAUCGGAGAGGGUAGUGGAAUUCCAAGUGUAGCGGUGAUAUGCGUAGAUAUUUGGAGGAACACCAGUGGCGAAGGCGACUACCUGGACGAAAACUGACGCUGAGGCACGAAAGCUAGGGGAGCAAAC
rnacentral:rRNA from 1 species